AUUCAAUUUAGAGGAGCCAUCGGACACGGAAACUGCUUCAGUCUCGUCUCUCUCAUCGACCAAACUAACGAGCACCGUUUUAAACUGAUGACUGUUUGUUUAAAUUCUGUUUUACACGACUUGGACGGCAAAGCUUUGCGAUUUGCCAAAGCUGGAUUUACUUUUUGCCACUCCAGACAGUCCCAGCGGUGGUAUUUAGACCAAUUAUGUCUUUAUUCAAAAACAAAUUAGCCGGUUAUAUUUUGUCUGCAUGACUGUUUUGUCGAUUUUAUUUACAGAUCCCGUGAACGUGGAGUGUCUGUAAAUAAAAAUUAUCCUCAAGAUAUCGACUUAUCGAGGAUCCAGCUUUGCCUCAAAUGUCCUUCAUGAGAUAGAGGGAAACUGAUCCAGAGGUCUCCAAGUUCCCGGCCUGAUUAACCCUUCCAGACCUACACAGGAGCAAAGGUUAACCAGGCUAAUCAUCUUCAAGAGUCUGAUUGAAUUAAAUGACUGUGGAAUUAGGACAGAAACUAAAUUGUCCCACUUAAAGACACCAUCAAGAGACAGGCUGGUCAUUUUUGACAACCAUCUUCAUUUAAAUUAACAUAAAAUAUAAAGCACAGAGGAAUUAAUUCUAGACAACAGAGGAUCACUUUUAACAGGUUUCAUUUGGUUCUACUAUAACAUUAAAUAUUUCAACAUACAGAACACCCACAGACCCAUGAACUGUUUUAUCCUGCUUGAUAAAGAUCACUUCAUUGGCCCACGUGUCAUGGCAUCUUAACUGUUGCAUUGCAUCAUAUCAAUUAGUACCCCCUGACUUUCUAGUAAAGUUUACCUCUUGUCUCUUUUCAUUAUUGCUUGAAAGUUGAAAAAAGUAGACCAAUUAGUCUACAUGUAAGUUUAGUUGGAUCAAGGUAAACUGUUUACUGACAAAACAUGCUUAAAGUUCCCUGAAGUCACUUUAUAUGGCAAGGUCCAUUACCUGAAGCAAUGAAAGCAAAACAUGAGCAUUUAAAGCAAAACAUUUAAAUUUUGAGCAUAUAAAAGAUUUGCUGAUUAUGUUGGCAUAAAAUUAUUAUCUCAAAAAUAGCAAUAUUUAGAGAAUAUAAAUAAGGUGUGCAGAGUCUUACGGCUUAUAUUUUCAUUUUGAUUGGACAGCUGUUAAGAACAGCUUUUACAGGUUUAAAAUAUAUUAAAUUCUGUUUCUGUCCUUUUUAUUUCUUAAUAUAUAACUAUAGCAAAUCAACAUCCAUCAUCACAAUCAACACCCUCUUGUGGUAAACAUGGUGCGUGUUUGUAUGUGAGUGAUCUGAUUAUAUGCAUACGCAUGUAGGCGUGUGUGUACAGUCUGACAGAGGUAACCUAUUACAUCCACAUUUUUUGUGAACGUGCUUUCAUAGGUUGAGACCAUUUUAUAAGGAGUUCAUCCAGCGGUGUAGAUCACUUUCUCUCUGUCUGUAUGCCCUAAGGGCUGCUAUCUAACAAGGCAAUAGAUUCCAGAUAGCUCACCGUGUUUAAUUUGCCAAUGAUAGAUUAUAGGGCCAAUAUAAACAGAUAGGGAUCAAUUUGUCUCAAUGAUCACUCUUUAGGCCGACUGCCAGGAUGUUCUUAAUGUAUUUGUAAAUGCUGGUUGUUUGAAUCGCUGCUGUUCGGUUUAAAGUGAGCAAAAACUGUAGCAUGUGGAGAAAUGAACAGGGUAAAUGAUGAAUGAUGUGCUGUUUUGGCUGCUGAAGACUGCCUAGAUGGAGCAUACGCUAGGAUUACUUCAGGCAGCAGAGCUGUAGCAGCAAUGACUAGAAGGUCAAUGGUUGAACUCUAAAGACUUGCUGGGAAAGUGUGGGUAGCGGAAUUGUGUGAUAAGUGCUCUCUAACCCUGAGGAUCUACUGCUGAAGUGCCCUUCGGCAAAGCUGCUUAAACCCCAUCUGUCUCAGUGGAGCUGCACAGCGGCCAGCAGUACAAGACUGCAGUUGUACUGGGCACUUGUGAGAUGUGUCUCUUUGAGAGUGACCUGCCCUCCCUUUUCUUUUUAAAGAGGGAGAGUGGGCUGUCCACUCGCCUAACCAUUUUUUUUUUCAUGUACUCAGACAGUGAAAAACUUUGGGAGAAAACACAAGAAAGCCGUGGCAGCAUUCAGUCCUGAGCCAGACAUGGCUCAUAUGUGGCCCCAAGGGCAACAGACAGUGUAUUGAAUUACUGUAACUCAAGGUGUAAUGUGGUAGCAGCGUGGGAUAUGUAAGAACUACACAAAAGGAUGUCGAAGAGGCUCACUGCAGCUUCAGCUUGCAGUUAUUUAAUGUUGAACUGUGGUUUAAAAUUUCAGAUAUAAUCCCUCUUUAGUAAUAAGGGCAGCAACACUAUUAUUACCAUUAGAUUUAUCAGUUAUGUCACACUGAUAUUAUUAUGUGAAAACCUUGUAUCUCCACAUUUUGUGAUUUCAGUGUGUUAAUGUACAUUAAAGAAUUAUAUGCUUUGUAACACAAGGAGAAAACACUUGGAGCCCUGCUGGAUCAACUCAUAAAUGCAUGUCGGUAAAUGUACUUCUUGAAGAUUUUGGACAUAUCGGAAAUAAAGGAUUUUCAUGAGACAUUUACAAAAGCUGGCCAAUGAAGUAUUACUGUUUGAAGUGUUACUGAAGUAGUCAAAAAAGUAGUGCCUCUGAUUAAUAAAGUUUAAACAUAUCAUAUGAA